GGGCGCGGGCGGCCGCCUUCCUCGGGAUUGAAAAACAAACGGCCAAAAGCCAAUUUCGUCCGGUUUGCGGCCUGGGGACGCCGUGCCACGAGUUGGGCCGGGAGAGGCGGCACCGGGGAGGGGGGACCGGGCCGUGGGGCCUCCGGGAGCACAGAGCUCGGCCGGCCCGCAGCUGUGUCCUGGGGACGGGGGUGGGAAUGGGGACGAGGACAGGGACGGGUGUUCGCCCCGGGCACGCUCGGCUUCAAGCCGUGUCAGAGCCGGGGCCCGGGGCUGGGGGCGGCGGGCCGGGAGCUGCUGCCGGUGGGCGCUCAGAGGGCCGCGCUGGGGCAGGAAAGGGCGACUCCAAAGGGACUGCAGUUUUUUCAUGGAGAAGUAGGUGUAUCGCAGUGACUUAUCGUGUACAGCUUACAGCUCCGUUCUCUGCUCUCUGGGUAUGUAGAGAAUACGUUUUGAAAAUCACUUGGUUAAAAAAAGUCAACGUGAGCACCUGUGGAGCUGCAGCACGGGGGGACAGCUGAUGGCUACACCGGUGCUCCAGGCCCACUGGGCUGUGCACAGUGCAGAACAGCAGCAGUGGGUGAAAGAGCAGUGCCUGCCUGUUGGUGUGCAUGCAGGAGUUGCCAACACGCUGUGCUUUAUAUAUAUCAGAGCGUGUAGGUGUCAGCAGUUACACUCCCGGUCUGUAUGUGUCCAUGUACAGAGCUCUGCAGCACAAUGUACAGCUAUGUUAACCGCUCCAACUCAUGCGGAGCUGAGCAGCACUGAGCAACGCAGUGAUGAGGCACUGCCCUGCGCUGCAGCCAGGGGUGGGGGCAGCUGGGCCCCCCGCACACAUGGGCAGGGCAGGUGCUGCCCGGGGCUCCCUGCUGCUCUGUGAGCUCAAUGCACCCAGCAGCAUCCCAGAGGUUAAACACAGGAGUGCUGCCUUGCUGGGUUUUUGGAUCAUUUAGAUCUCGUUGAGCAUUUUAUAUAAAUACAAAGAUUAAAAUAAUUUAUUUCAACAUCA